rnacentral:rRNA from 1 species
AUUGAACGCCGGCGGCAUGCCUUACACAUGCAAGUCGAACGGCAGCACGGGAGCAAUCCUGGUGGCGAGUGGCGAACGGGUGAGUAAAGUAUCGGAACGUGCCCAGUCGUGGGGGAUAACGUAGCGAAAGUUACGCUAAUACCGCAUACGAUCUAUGGAUGAAGGCGGGGGAUCGCAAGACCUCGCGCGAUUGGAGCGGCCGAUAUCAGAUUAGGUAGUUGGUGGGGUAAAGGCUCACCAAGCCGACGAUCUGUAGCUGGUCUGAGAGGACGACCAGCCACACUGGGACUGAGACAUGGCCCAGACUCCUACGGGAGGCAGCAGUGGGGAAUUUUGGACAAUGGGCGCAAGCCUGAUCCAGCCAUCCCGCGUGCAGGAUGAAGGCCUUCGGGUUGUAAACUGCUUUUGUACGGAACGAAAAGGUUUGGCCUAAUAAGCUGAGCUCAUGACGGUACCGUAAGAAUAAGCACCGGCUAACUACGUGCCAGCAGCCGCGGUAA